UUUGAGAUAUGGAACUGGUAUGUCUCCACAAAUUAAACAUUCUCCACAACUAUGUGCUUACUUCUCCUUUUUACAUGUCCCUCACUAUAUGUUUAGCUUUCUCGCAUCAUGUAGUCGUAUUUUAGUCUGUUAUGUUCUUUCUUCAUGUUUCUGCACCUUUAAGUUCUGUUAUGCUUUAUUUUCCUUGAUUUUUGCUAUACAUGUUUGUUCCAUGUGAACCCCCUUCCCUUUAACCCCUUUAUGUGUGAGUAUUCUUCUAGGUUAAGGUAGCACCCCAUUGCUAUCCAUGACCUGGGACCAGGUUCUCUUGGACCUUUACUCAAAUCAGUCCCAUUCCUUUCUCCCAUUUAUGUGUUGAGCCUUGACUAGGGUCUGGAAGUGUCCUAAUCACCACCCAGGCCCCUUUCUGACUUUUAAAGUCUGCUCUUUAUCUGUUAAAAUCAAGUGGGGCUCAGGGGUGUGCUAGUCUUACCCAUGGCUGGGUAUGACCACCCUUUGCUUUGGUUUCCCCUAAUCCACUCACCCCUUUUUCUUAAGGACGAACAACAGAGUUUUCAAAAACACACACACACUCAAAGCUCUCUUUUCAUUACUAUUACUUGUGCUACUAUUUUGGCUAGCCGGCUGAAAGUCAAUGCUAGACUUUGGAAUCUCUCUUGCUUUCCUCAAGUGUUUUCUAAAGAUUCUCUGGCUGUUUUCUUGCUUUGUUUGUUCUGUUGUUUGAGAGGUGCAACUGGUUGUCUCCAUAAGUUAAACAUUCUCCACAACUAUGGGCUUACUUAUCCUUUUUACAUGUCCCUCACUAUAUGUUUAGCUUUCUCGCAUCAUGUAGUCGUAUUUUAGUCUGUUAUGUUCUUUCUUCAUGUUUCUGCACCUUUAAGUUCUGUUAUGCUUUAUUUUCCUUGAUUUUUGCUAUACAUGUUUGUUCCAUGUGAACCCCCUUCCCUUUAACCCCUUUAUGUGUGAGCUGCUUUCUUUUCCUAGAUGUUUUCUAUACAUGCUUUUUCCAUGUGAACCCCUUCCCUUUAACCCUUUUAUGUGUGAGUAUUCUUCUAGGUUAAGGUAGAACCCCAUUGCUAUCCAUAGCCUGGGACCAGGUUCUCUUGGACCUUUACUCAAAUCAGUCCCAUUCCUUUCUCCCCUUAUAUGUUGAGCCUUGACUAGGGUUUGGAAGUGUCCUAAUCACCACCCAGGCCCCUUUCUGACUUUUAAAGUGUGCUCUUUAUAUGUUUAAAUCAAGUGGAGUGUCAGGGGUGUGCCAGUCUUACCCAUGGAUAGGUAUGACCACCCUUUGCUUUGGUUUCCCCUAAUCCACUCACUUUACACUUAUUCUUAGUUCUUUAAGUUCUGUCCCCCCCCCCC
rnacentral:lncRNA from 1 species